UACGUAGGGUGCGAGCGUUAAUCGGCAUUACUGGGCGUAAAGCGUGCGCAGGCGGUUAUGUAAGACAGAGGUGAAAUCCCCGGGCUCAACCUGGGAACUGCCUUUGUGACUGCAUGACUAGAGUACGGCAGAGGGGGAUGGAAUUCCGCGUGUAGCAGUGAAAUGCGUAGAUAUGCGGAGGAAAACCGAUGGCGAAGGCAAUCCCCUGGGCCGGUACUGACGCUCAUGCACGAAAGCGUGGGGAGCAAACAGG
rnacentral:rRNA from 1 species